GUUUCAGGGCGGGGUGAAAUUCCCCACCGGCGGUAUAGCCCGCGACCGCAGCUUUUUGCAAAGCUUGCGCUGAUUCGGUGAAAUUCCGAAGCCGACGGUAUAGUCCGGAUGAAAGAAA
rnacentral:ncRNA from 1 species